UUAAAGCAUGAGUAACACUCGGUUCACAGACUUCAUGAUUUUGAGCAUCCUGUUAUGGAUUGAUGUUGGCAUGGAAAUGAUGUUGUAUCUUGUUGAUGUCUAUCGUUUUGCAGGUUUUUGAGUAUACUUGUGGUGUGAACUGACCAUGUCCUGUUGCAGCUUGAAAUGUUUGCCUUUAUCUGUUUGAAUUGUGGCUCAAGUUUGGUUCAUGGUAUGCUCAAAUACAUGGCCCUGAUUAAUGCGCGACUGUUUGGCAUGUGUGUGCAGGUCUUGCUUUGCAUCAUGUUGUUUUUGAGCUACAUUGGUUGCAGGCUACAUGAUGGUUUAUUGGCUUGCAAGAUGAAGGAUGCUAGGCAUGGUGUAGCAAGGCAAACAGGGAAAAUGGCCUGAGUUGGCAGCAUGUGUUCUAACUUGUUGUGGCAUGAACCUGGCAGGAGCAUAUUGAUCUUGGAAUCAAAUAUGAAAAAUCUACUGGUAUCUAUGGUGUGGUGUGAGGUUACUGUCAUGGUUGUUUUUCCAGCAGGGUCAUGGCAUUUGGAUGGUGAUGAAUUGGAAAGUUAUGGACUAUGCCCAUGGAGGAUUGCAAUUGCUGCAAUGUUUUGUUCUUUAUAACCGAAGGUUAUUUUUGAAGUAUACAUCAAAAUGCAUUCGACAUAUAGCAUCUUCAUUGAACCAUCCAUUUCAAAAGUUUUGAGAACACGAUGAGCCAACAGGAGACCGGUGCAGUAGGCU